GGCUACACAAAGAACCUUUAAGACAUUUGCUUUAUUUUGCCAUGGCUUGCUUGCUGGUAAGUGUAUUUUAUAGUAAAGUUUCGUAUGACAUGUUUGAUUCGUUCGUCUUUGUGUAGUCAACUUUGCCAAGCUCUUGAACCAGGGUACUUGUGCAUGAUGGAGAAAGUUUCUAAGUAUAAAUUCUGCUUGUUUGGAUGGAUCAAAAAGACAAUUUGACAAAGUAAUUCGAGCAAUUAGCCUUUCUCACGACGACGAAUAUCCGCCAUUUUUGUGUGGCAUCUAAUUCUCGUUAACCAAUGCAGACAAUUAAAACAAUGUGAAAAGCAAUUUUUCAAAAUAAACUAACCAUUUACAAAGCAAAUUUACCAUCAUUCGUCCGAAAAAUUAUAAAAAGUCGCUGUUAUGUGGACUUACCUCGCAGAUUUCGGCCGAAAAGCCACCCAACAAUGGCGGCGUGAGAAAGGCUAAUUGGAUGCGGUUGCACGGACAGUGAUAUAUUACAACUGUAGUAUAGGUAAUUGUGGCGGCCAGAUCUUACAAAACUUGCUCUACGUGUACACUGACAAUUUAAUUGACAAAUAAAACUUCCAUAUGAGAACGUGACUACUGCAAACGACCAAAUUUUAAUAAGUCAUAGUGCUGUAUGUUUGUGAUCUAUCCGCCAAGUCGCAAGCGUCAUGAUUUAAUACGCUGCAUCGCGUCAUCCUAGGGACAAAAUUGAGCCAAGUAAUAUCGGCCAUUAUGCGGUUAAUUUAACCCCUGAGUUGUGAACAAACGCAGCCGGAGCCGGAUAUUUGAGCCCUAAAGCAGCUGGUGCCUGUGUCACGCUAAAUUCCUGACUUGCUAGAUAUACAUGAUUAUCGUAGUGCAAAAUAAUGCGGAUAAUUUACAUCUCCUCACAAAUUUCGCAACUGCCUACUACAACAAAAACAUGUUUCUUCGAACACGAUUUUCCAAACUGUUUUUCAGUAUUUUUCCGAAUGGAUGUAAAUUUUACUGUUGUAUCUGUUACUGGCUGUGCUGGAGUCAGGGAUCUUUCUGAAUGCCCGGGGCAAAUUUUCCCUGGGUGGCCCCAUGACAUCAUUAUUUUUAAGCUAGACUCAACUAGACCUUAACUAGACUGCAUGUGGAGGUACUGUAAGGGGCCCUCAAUUUCAAAAAUGCUCUGACCAAUUUAAAGAACCUACUCAAUUUUAGGUUCUCGCUCUCAAGUUAGGGCCCUAUUAAGGUGGGGGCCCGGGGCAAUUUGGCCCCCUGCCCCCCCCCCGGCAGCCAUGCCUGUACGUAGUCUUUGACUCUGUAUUAACCUAUGUACAAUAGCAUCUAAUAAAAUGCACAAUCUGGCCAGUGGUAGCGGUCACAAUCAUUAUCCAUUAUAUAUAAUAUACGUUUUCACUUAAAUGGUCUGAAGUAAAAUGGCGAAAAUAUUAGAUAAGCCCAGUUUACAAAUGACAGCUUUUUAGUUUACAUCAUAAAUCAUUAAGACAUUAUUAUGUUUAUAGUAACCACCGUCAUUCUUAUUUCAUGACAGAUCUCAUAUAGAUACUAAACUGAAUCCAGUUUCAGAGUUACAUGCGAUGAAAAUAUUAUAUAAACCUUAAAAAGAUGUUUUCGGCCGAGUCAUGUAUUUAGCGAGUAACUAGCCUUUCCGGGGGCGAGUGCGCGAGUGUGUCCGCCCAGAACUUUUAUUAGCCCACUGGCUAGGAACAUGACGACCGAAGAGGGUUUUGGGUGGUAGCAUGUGAAGAUCCUGAGUGUCAGGUUCAUGACAGCUACUUUGCGCAACCUCGUUCCCAGAGAUUGCACAUUGCGAUGGAUCAGUCAUUCAUCAAUAAUGUAAUUGAACUGGUUUUAUUUCUUGUAGGUUUUGCUCUGUGUCAGUGUUUAUUUGUCUACUCGUUGUCCAGUCAUUCUGGUGGUGCGGAUAAUUUUCUAUCAAACUAUUACAGAUUGGCACAACCUAUAGGAUCUGUGUAUUACUUCAUGUUAGCUGUGUGUACCGUCUCUGUUUUGGAUAGGUAAUGUAAAACCUGUUUUUCUAUAAUUAUAAAUUGGUAAAGUAGAAAACUUUUGGCCUUUUUUCUAACGUGUAGCCGGCUGAUGUAAGUUUCCCAAUUUUCGCUGACUAACCGCAUGCAAUUGAGCAAAAUUUGUUCUUUGUCAAUUUUGCAAUGACAAGUGCACUUUCUCAAAAGCUCGCAUUACUAACACUUAUUCCAAAGGUCUGAGUGGUAUACGAGAUUUACACCUCUCAGCCUGGAGACAGGCUUCCUUCGAAGCCUGGCUCCAGGCUGAGAGGGGUAAAUCUCGUAUACCCCGACAGACCUUUGGAACAAGAAUUUUGUCUAUCACCUCACAGUGCACAGAACCAAAACUUCACCAACAAGUUCUUCUCGUCACUGAAAGUAAUCCAUUCUUCAUAGUUUUCUAUGUGGCAAGCCUUCAAAUACGCCUCAAACUUUCUCUUUGCAUUGUUCUCACUUUUUAGGGUGUUUUUGUUAAUUAAGCAAAUGUUGUUUUUUCUAUGCUAAUUCUUCGUCAGAAAUUAUAUUUACACUGAGAUUGUUUGACGCCAUUUUGAAAAAAAUGCCCGCGAAACAAAGUCGUAUCCUUUUGGAGCUGUGGUAGCCAAUGAACGUCAUUCGGGAUUGAGGAUCAUUUUUACACAUACACUGUACGUUACGGGAGAUUCUUAAGAAACCAUUAUAUCCUUAUCUGCAUGUCAUUUGAGAUUAUCGCCUGUGUUCUAAAAGCUCACUCGCACUCACAUUCAAAGAGUGGAGGUUCAACCUGAGCUUCCCUUAAAUAGCUGGAGGGUGAGUAGUCACAUAUUAAGGUACAAGACUAACUCUCCAACUGUUCAAAAACAGCACUGAUACUUAACGGAAGCUCAGAUUGAACCUCCACUCUUUGAAUGCGAGUGUGAGUGAGCUUUUAGAAUACAGGCGUAUGAACUGCUGUUCAAUGCUCAAAUUUGGCGUAAUGUACGGCCAAGUUUUCCAUUGCUUUUGCGCACUUUUGAGGAACAUUUGAAAAAGGCAAAUUUAAGAUCCGAGGGACAUUACACACUUUUUCCAGGCCUGCAAUGGACAUAACACGUUCCUAUAAUUUUGUUUUCUGUAUUUUAUAGUUAUGGCAUGGUGAAGACAAAGCUAGGUUUUUGUCAUCAAAUUUUAUCUAAUCCAUUGUGGACAUUGUCACUUAUCG
rnacentral:lncRNA from 1 species